UACGUAGGGGGCAAGCGUUGUUCGGAAUUACUGGGCGUAAAGGGCUCGUAGGUGGCCAACUAAGUCAUACGUGAAAUCCCUCGGCUUAACCGGGGAACUGCGUCUGAUACUGGAUGGCUUGAGUUUGGGAGAGGGACGCGGAAUUCCAGGUGUAGCGGUGAAAUGCGUAGAUAUCUGGAGGAACACCGGUGGCGAAGGCGGCGUCCUGGACCAACACUGACACUGAGGAGCGAAAGCCAGGGGAGCAAACGGG
rnacentral:rRNA from 1 species